rnacentral:rRNA from 1 species
AAAGUAGCAAUACGCUCAGGGAGGGGCUCGCGGCCUAUUAGUUAGUUGGCGGGGUAACGGCCCACCAAGGCGAUGACGGGUAGCCGGUCUGAGAGGAUGAACGGCCACAUUGGGACUGAGAUACGGCCCAGACUCCUACGGGAGGCAGCAGUGGGGAAUAUUGGGCAAUGGGGGAAACCCUGACCCAGCAACGCCGCGUGAAGGAAGAAGGCUUUCGGGUUGUAAACUUCUUUUACCAGGGACGAAGGACGUGACGGUACCUGGAGAAAAAGCAACGGCUAACUACGUGCCAGCAGCCGCGGUAAUACGUAGGUUGCAAGCGUUGUCCGGAAUUACUGGGUGUAAAGGGCGUGUAGGCGGAGCUGCAAGUCAGAUGUGAAAUCCCGGGGCUCAACCCCGGAACUGCAUUUGAAACUGCAGCCCUUGAGUAUCGGAGAGGCAAGCGGAAUUCCUAGUGUAGCGGUGAAAUGCGUAGAUAUUAGGAGGAACACCAGUGGCGAAGGCGGCUUGCUGGACGACAACUGACGCUGAGGCGCGAAAGCGUGGGGAGCAAACAGGAUUAGAUACCCUGGUAGUCCACGCUGUAAACGAUGAAUACUAGGUGUGGGAGGACUGACCCCUUCCGUGCCGCAGUUAACACAAUAAGUAUUCCACCUGGGGAGUACGACCGCAAGGUUGAAACUCAAAGGAAUUGACGGGGGCCCGCAUAAGCAGUGGAUUAUGUGGUUUAAUUCGACGCAACGCGAAGAACCUUACCAGGAUUUGACAUCCAACUAACGAAGUAGAGAUACAUUAGGUGCCCUUCGGGGAAAGUUGAGACAGGUGGUGCAUGGUUGUCGUCAGCUCGUGUCGUGAGAUGUUGGGUUAAGUCCCGCAACGAGCGCAACCCCUAUUGUUAGUUGCUACGCAAGAGCACUCUAGCGAGACUGCCGUUGACAAAACGGAGGAAGGCGGGGACGACGUCAAAUCAUCAUGCCCCUUAUGUCCUGGGCUACACACGUAAUACAAUGGCCGUCAACAAAGGGAAGCAAUAUCGCGAGAUGGAGCAAAUCCCCAAGAACGGUCUCAGUUCGGAUUGCAGGCUGCAACUCGCCUGCAUGAAGCUGGAAUUGCUAGUAAUCGUGGAUCAGCAAGCCACGGUGAAUACGUUACCGGGCCUUGCACUCACCGCCCGUCA